CCUACGGGAGGCAGCAGUGGGGAAUAUUGCACAAUGGGGGAAACCCUGAUGCAGCGACGCCGCGUGAGUGAAGAAGUAUUUCGGUAUGUAAAGCUCUAUCAGCAGGGAAGAAAAUGACGGUACCUGACUAAGACGCCCCGGCUAACUACGUGCCAGCAGCCGCGGUAAUACGUAGGGGGCAAGCGUUAUCCGGAUUUACUGGGUGUAACGGGAGCGUAGACGGCAGUGCAAGUCUGGAGUGAAAUGCCGGGGCUCAACCCCCGGACUGCUCUGGAAACUGUACGGCUGGAGUGCAGGAGAGGUAAGUGGAAUUCCUAGUGUAGCGGUGAAAUGCGUAGAUAUUAGGAGGAACACCAGUGGCGAAGGCGGCUUACUGGACUGUAACUGACGUUGAGGCUCGAAAGCGUGGGGAGCAAACAGGAUUAGAUACCCCGGUAGUC
rnacentral:rRNA from 1 species